UACGUAGGGGGCAAGCGUUGUCCGGAUUUACUGGGCGUAAAGCGCACGCAGGCGGUCGAUUAAGUUUGGAGUGACAGUUGGUGGCUUAACUGCCAAAGUGCUUCGAAAACUGAUCGACUUGAGGGCUUCAGAGGGACACGGAAUUCCGGGUGGAGUGGUGAAAUGCGUAGAGAUCCGGAGGAACACCGAAGGCGAAGGCAGUGUCCUGGGGAGUACCUGACGCUCAGGUGCGAAAGCCAGGGGAGCGAACGGG
rnacentral:rRNA from 1 species